AACAAAUGUGCUCGAGUUAAACGUCAAUAGAAACAAAAGGAAAAGUCACUAGCGGCUGAAAGUUUCCAUUGCACUAUGUCAAGUCAAGUUCCUAGGCUUUAUUAUAUCUGCUGAUUCACGCUCUCUGGAACACAGCCACGUCACUCCUAUUAUCAGCUUCCCAGCCCCAAUCACUGCGAACAAGUGCGCCAAUGGCUGGGUAUGGUCAACUUCUGCAGACAGUGGAUUCCAAACGCGGCUCUCCUCAUUAAGAAGCUGACUCUAUAUUUCCCCUACAAAGAUAUCCUAACCCUUGCUACAGAAAUGACUACCAGGAUCAGAAUUACUUUCAUCCUGAUAUAUGGACUUGCCUUGGCCAGCAUUCAUACACAAGAAGGGACCAUCUAUCUGUGUGAUCCUGAACAACAGGAGACUGUAUACCACCUAUGCCAGGAUGAUGUUCUUAUAUGCCAAAAGACUGAUCCCUUCGAUGUGUGGAACAUUGCCCAAGAUGAUUGUCAUAAUGGUCAACUACACCUACAAGAUCAAACAGUCCAUUUACAGAACA